AUCGGACAUCCACAGUCUAAUGGGGAAGUCGAAGUGACCAACCGGACCAUUCUGCAUGGACUGAAGACCCGAUUGAACGUAGCCAGAGGCCUCUGGGUCGAGAAAUUGCACUCGAUCCUGUGGGCAUACCGAACGACACCCCGUGUCCCAUCCGGGGAAACUCCUUUCAACUUGGCCUUUGGGAUAGAGGCAAUGAUCCCACUGG
rnacentral:lncRNA from 1 species